rnacentral:rRNA from 1 species
GACGAACGCUGGCGGCGUGCUUAACACAUGCAAGUCGAACGGAAAGGCCCUGCUUUUGUGGGGUGCUCGAGUGGCGAACGGGUGAGUAACACGUGAGUAACCUGCCCUUGACUUUGGGAUAACUUCAGGAAACUGGGGCUAAUACCGGAUAGGAGCUCCUGCUGCAUGGUGGGGGUUGGAAAGUUUCGGCGGUUGGGGAUGGACUCGGGGCUUAUCAGCUUGUUGGUGGGGUAGUGGCUUACCAAGGCUUUGACGGGUAGCCGGCCUGGGAGGGUGACCGGCCACAUUGCGGCUGGGAUACGGCUCAGACUCCUAUGGGGGACAGCAGUGGGGAAUAUUGCUCAAUGGGCGGAAGCCGUAUGCAGCAACGCCGCGUGCGGGAUGACGGCCUUCGGGUUGUAAACCGCUUUAGCCUGUGACGAAGCGUGAGUAACGGUAAUGGGUAAAGAAGCACCGGCUAACUACGUG